rnacentral:lncRNA from 1 species
CCCCCCCCCCCAGGCCUCCUGGCUGCAUAGGUACCUGGUCCUACAUUGCACACACUGCAGAAGCACAGGGGGUCAUAAAGGCCAUUGUCCUGAGCUGCAGAAGUUGUAGAAGUGAACAAUAAUACAAAGAGGGCCUCUCUCAGCCUCCUUAAUGGAAAUUGAAGCCCACUGGAAAAGUGAAAGGAAUCUCUGCAAUCAAGGCACACCAGACCACCAUAGUUGCUCCUUUUAGGUCCCCAUCCUGAAGGAUAAAGUGGCUGUAUCGAAGAGUUUAUUCACUAUAAACAUAUUUUGGGAAGGUCCUCAAUUUUGAUGUAAUUCACAUGGUUAAAGGUGAUAGAUUAAUAACUACCACAAAUUGUUAUUUUCUAAACUGUGCUUGAUGCUACUGUGUUGCUGAUUGUAUCCUUUGGGCUAAGGUAUUGUGAUUGAUCUAGUCAGUUCCUGGUAUAAUGAAAAUGAGAUUGUCCAGAGUCAUUAGAGACUCAAAACCUAAAGACCAGCUACAUCUAGAAGAUACCUCUGAGAAGCAAUCAUUCCAUAAGCAUUCUAAAUACAACCAACAAAGAUACUUACAAUAAGCAAUAUCAAAGUAUCAACCCAGGAAUUAAACCAAGGACAGUACCAACAACAAAAAUAAAAAUGAGAAGACAUUUAAGCAAGGCACAAACCCACACUUUCAGACCACCAAGGCAAAUUCUGGGGUAAACAAGGUGGAAAAUUCUGAUGCUCAACCACCUGGACACCCUGAACUGAUAGCACUGGAAGUAACAAAACAGAUGAAUGAGGCUCUAGAAAAAUUCAAAACAGAAAUAAUUUUCCAGAUAACUACAGAUAUGGUGAGUGGAAUGAAAGACAUGAUUAGAGACUCUAGAACAGAAACAGAUAAAAAAAAAAUAGCUGAGUUCAGGACCGUGAUAGAAACCAUGAAUGCCCAACAUAGGAAAGAAAUGGAAACCAUGAAUGCCCAACUUAGGAAAGAAAUGGAAUCCAUGAAAGAGAUUCAAACAGAUAUCCAGGAGAUGAAAAACUCCACUGAAAGCAUACACAGCACACUGAGCCAAUCUGAAGACAGAAUAUCAGAUAGAGAAG